GUGAAAGUCGUUUUGGUGUCGGUAGAGCGCUGGAUUCCAGUCCCAGCGGUCGGGGGUUCGAUCCCCUCUUCCCUCA